rnacentral:rRNA from 1 species
GUCGAGAAUCUUCCGCAAUGCGCGAAAGCGUGACGGAGCGACACCGCGUGAUGGAUGAAGUCCUUCGGGGCGUAAACAUCUUUUAUAAAGGAGGAAAUUUUUGACGUUACUUUAUGAAGAAGGGGCUCCCAAUCUCGUGCCAGCAGGAGCGGUAAUACGAGAGCCUCAAGCGUUAUCCGGAAUCAUUGGGCGUAAAGGGUGCGUAGGUGGUUUGAUUAGUCUCCCGUUAAAACUUCGAGCUUAACUCGAAAAGAGCGGGGGAAACGGUCAAGCUAGAGUAUGUGAGAGGUGUGUGGAACUCAUGGUGUAGGGGUGAAAUCCGUUGAUAUCAUGGGGAACACCAAAAGCGAAGGCAGCACACUGGCACAUCACUGACACUGAGGCACGAAACCUAAGGUAGCGAAUGGGAUUAGAUACCCGAGUAGUCC